CAUACUGAAAUCAGAAUCAAAAUGAAACUCCUCCCAAUCAAACGGUUAGAAUGGGAUUAACCAUUUUUCAUUCUCAUUCUAAGCCCCAACUGUUCCCAACCAAACAUCCGAUCUACUGUCCGCCAACUCCGUCGGGUGUUUUGGGUGAUAGAUUCUAACAUGCGUUGGGUUGUGAGCAAAAUAAAGAAAGAAAAAUAUAAAAAGAAGAA
rnacentral:lncRNA from 1 species